CGAGGCCUACGGGACGCAGCAGUGAGGAAUAUUGGUCAAUGGGCGGGAGCCUGAACCAGCCAAGUCGCGUGAGGGAAGACGGUCCUAUGGAUUGUAAACCUCUUUAGGCGGGGAGCAAUGCCGGGCACGCGUGUCCGGAGGGAGAGUACCCGCAGAAUAAGCAUCGGCUAACUCCGUGCCAGCAGCCGCGGUAAUACGGAGGAUGCGAGCGUUAUCCGGAUUUAUUGGGUCUAAAGGGUGCGUAGGCGGAUUUUUAAGUCAGCGGUAAAAUGUCCGGGCUCAACC
rnacentral:rRNA from 1 species